rnacentral:rRNA from 1 species
UACGGAGGGGGCUAGCGUUGCUCGGAAUCACUGGGCGUAAAGCGCACGUAGGCGGAUCCUUAAGUCGGGGGUGAAAUCCUGGAGCUCAACUCCAGAACUGCCUUCGAUACUGAGGAUCUCGAGUCCGGGAGAGGUGAGUGGAACUGCGAGUGUAGAGGUGAAAUUCGUAGAUAUCGAGAGGAACACCUGCGGCGAAGGCGGGUUGCUGGGCUGACACUGACGCUGGAAGCGCGAAAGCUAGGGGAGCGAACGGG